CAGUCGCCGCGGGAAUACAGAGGGUGCAAGCGUUAAUCGGAAUUACUGGGCGUAAAGCGCGCGUAGGUGGUUUGUUAAGUUGGAUGUGAAAUCCCCGGGCUCAACCUGGGAACUGCAUCCAAAACUGGCAAGCUAGAGUAUGGUAGAGGGUGGUGGAAUUUCCUGUGUAGCGGUGAAAUGCGUAGAUAUAGGAAGGAACACCAGUGGCGAAGGCGACCACCUGGACUGAUACUGACACUGAGGUGCAAAAGCGUGGGGAGCAAACAGGAUUAGAUACCCGCGUAGUCCCUGUCUCUUAUAA
rnacentral:rRNA from 1 species